AUUGAACACUGGCGGCAGGCCUAACACAUGCAAGUCGAACGGUAGCACAGGAGAGCUUGCUCUCUGGGUGACGAGUGGCGGACGGGUGAGUAAGGCAUGGGGAGCUGCCCAAUCGAGGGGGAUACCAGCUGGAAACGGCUGCUAAUACCGCAUACGCCCUGAGGGGGAAAGGUGGGGACCUUCGGGCCUACCGCGAUUGGAUGCACCCAUGUGGGAUUAGCUAGUUGGUGAGGUAACGGCUCACCAAGGCGACGAUCUCUAGCUGGUCUGAGAGGAUGACCAGCCACACUGGAACUGAGACACGGUCCAGACUCCUACGGGAGGCAGCAGUGGGGAAUAUUGCACAAUGGGGGAAACCCUGAUGCAGCCAUGCCGCGUGUGUGAAGAAGGCC
rnacentral:rRNA from 1 species